rnacentral:rRNA from 1 species
AUGGGAGGCCCGCCUCGGGUCGGAUCUGGGCCCGACCCCGUCGCCCGUACACCGCAGCCCGUCGGCUCCCCGCAUGCCCGAGCCGCUCCCUCCUCGAUCCCGAUCUGGAUCGAGGGGACGAGGGGUUUCUGCCCCGCCUCAUUGGAGUUGCCUCCGCCGCCGGCGAUCACCUUCACCAGUCCGCCGCCUGCAUCAGGUCACCGGCCUCCGCGCCCGUCUCCUCCUUCCUUCUCUGGCUCGACCUCUCCCUCACCUCGCUCUCUCUCUUCUCCCCGCAGGAUCUGCCGCCGCCGCCUCGUGAAGCUCCGCUCGACGUCGGUGGCCCUCACCGAUGCCGGGAACGGAGACCCCGCCCCGUUCUCCACCGGAUCCGGCCGGUUUUGGCCGUCCCCGCCGCUGUCCUGCUGCCCUCGAGGCUCGCCGGAGCCUCAAGGUGCGCUGCUGCCGCCGUGCCUCGCUCCCGAUCCGAUCGGGAGGAGGACAACGCCCCCGUCGGUCCGGCCUCGUGGACCCUCCCCUUCAGGCCCAGCGCCAGCCAGCUCCCCGGCCCAUCUCCAGCGCCGGCCUCGCUCGGCCUCCUCCCCAGCUCCCUUCGCCAGCCGCGUGGGCCGCAGCGCCAGGCCCAGCCGGGCCACCUCCUCCGCACCGCGCCAGCCCAGCUGGCCUGCCUCUCCCUCCGACCGGGCCGCAGCCCAGGGGUGUUUGCUUCUUCGGGUUGGUUCCGAUAACGUCGAGGUUGUGAGGAUCCAUUCAUCUACGUCCGUUUGUCUUCUUCAUGGACUCGUUCUUCUUCCUUGCGGGAUCUCAGCUUGCAGGUGCCGUUGA